AACUGCAGCAGCGAGUCUCGACAGAGUCGUCCCAUCAAAUCAAGGCCUUUGGUGGUGCAAAAGCAGAGCCAGGCUGUCAUGUGAUGUGUUUCUGGUCAUGUGCCUUCAAACCAGGAAGUUGUUUUGUCUGCUUGUGCUCACCUGUUGAAAAUCCACCUGCAAACAUCCUCUGCAUCCAACAAAGCUGGUUGGUGCCUUUUAUACUUUUGGAGAAACUGAUUAUCAAUCCAGCUGAUUUCAGUUUGUUGCAUUUUCGUUUAAGUUGCAGUUUGUUUUUCUGAUGUGCGAAGCUGAUGAUAAAACCCUGCAGGAGUUUGAUCUGGAAGUCGGCUCUUAACAGAAAUAUUAACUCCACUUUUAGAUGCUGUAGAUCAUCUCCAACCUGGAAGCCUCAGAGAGCUCAGAAGAUAAAACCUGAGGAGUCACAAGACGCCUACCAGGCGUCCAGUCCGGCUGUGACUCAGCUGCCCCGACCUUCGCAGGGAGUUCACACAGCCGACCAAAAGUUACGAGGGAGGAAGAGGAGCGUGAGAGUAAACCAACGGACAUCCACACUUAUUCUGAAGGGACUUUUAAAGGAAACUGCUUCGGCAUUGAGAAGAACAAGUUACGCUUUUACGGACUCCAGUGCAGAGCUGAAGUAUCACCUCACCCAGGAGACCCAUCUCAUCCAGAGGGCCCAUGCUGCUCAUCCACAGGGCUCACCUUCACCGUGAGGGCUGAUGUGCUGAUUGGUCCGAUGAUGUGGCGACAGCGUCCCCUGUUCUGUCCCGGUCUCGCCCUCCUCCUCGCCGCGCUGUGGCUCAGAGCGGUUCUCUGUGACAGUCGUUCUGUCUGAAAGUCUCAUCGGACCCCCUCAUGAUGUGAAAGUCCAUCCCUCCAUCCUCCCCGGAGAUGAGCGGAGUGAAAGAGCCGAGUGGGUGGAGGGGACAGUGACAGACAAGAGAUGCUGUGUCAUUCCACCUCAUCAGCCCGUCCAGAUCAACAAUCCCCGGUCCAGACUGCCAGAGAGGCCCACCUCGCUGCCCAGUGUGUCCCAGGAGAGGUGCUCUGACCGGGGCAAGGGGAGAGGGGGACGAGACGGGACGAGACGGGACGGGAUGAGACGGGGGGGGGUUCAGGCUGGAGCUUCCCACUCAGCAGAAAGAAUACUGCAGGAGAGGAAGGUGAGGAGGAGGGCAGGUUGGUGAAGGAGAGCAGAAAGAGAAGGUAGAAGAAAAUGCUGCUUUGUCAUUCAUUCCUGCUUUGCUGUGUCACAAUCUCAAAUGUUCUAAUGUCAGACGGGAAAUGUUGACGCCGAAUCUCUGAAUGUGUGAUUUGAGGUGUACAAUAUAUUCUUCGAUCAAUGUGACCAAA